GGUCUAGUAGCUCAGCUGGUUAGAGCAUGGUCACUAGUAUUGCCAUGGUCUUGGGUUUAACCCCCAGUUGAUCCA